rnacentral:rRNA from 1 species
UAGGGAAUCUUCGGCAAUGGGGGCAACCCUGACCGAGCAACGCCGCGUGAGUGAAGAAGGUUUUCGGAUCGUAAAGCUCUGUUGUAAGAGAAGAACGAGUGUGAGAGUGGAAAGUUCACACUGUGACGGUAACUUACCAGAAAGGGACGGCUAACUACGUGCCAGCAGCCGCGGUAAUACGUAGGUCCCGAGCGUUAUCCGGAUUUAUUGGGCGUAAAGCGAGCGCAGGCGGUUAGAUAAGUCUGAAGUUAAAGGCUGUGGCUUAACCAUAGUACGCUUUGGAAACUGUUUAACUUGAGUGCAGAAGGGGAGAGUGGAAUUCCAUGUGUAGCGGUGAAAUGCGUAGAUAUAUGGAGGAACACCGGUGGCGAAAGCGGCUCUCUGGUCUGUAACUGACGCUGAGGCUCGAAAGCGUGGGGAGCAAACAGGAUUAGAUACCCUGGUAGUCCACGCCGUAACGAUGAGUGCUAGGUGUUGGGUCCUUUCCGGGACUCAGUGCCGCAGCUAACGCAUUAAGCACUCCGCCUGGGGAGUACGACCGCAAGGUU